rnacentral:lncRNA from 1 species
AGUGUGCCCUUCAGGUUUUGUGACUGGGAUGCCGAGGAUCACAAAACAAGGUGUGAAGUAACCAUGCAAAUCACUUGGUACCCUUAAUAAAUUACCCCUCAAUCGAUGUGCCGGUUAACCACACACGCUCCAUCGAUACUAUGAUAAAUAUUAAGUCACCCUUUACCUACCUUGUUAAGUCCAAGUUAGUGUGCCGGUUAACCACACACGCUCCACUAACCGACUUAAACAAAGUGCAAAGUGUAAUUUCAUGGAUUAGCACCUUAUUCACAUUUUCCUAAGUAAUUAAGAUUAGGUAUUAUUAAGUGUUUAGUUACUUAGUAUUUAUCAUUAAUACUUUUAAUGAAGGGAGAAUUAUAGUCUUGUCAAACCCGUUCGGCUAACGACCCUCCACCAGUGAAGGAAGCUAUGGGUGAGAGUGGGCACCUAUUAAACUGCCAUUUUAUAGGCAGUAACCUCAUACCCCCCUUAUAGACUGGCUUCGUGAAUGAGGCCUACUAACGGUAAGACUGACUUUACUCUUAUACAUAUAUAUAUUAUUAACUUAUAAUAUUAUAAAGUAUAAGGGUUGAAUUUUAACUUUUAAAAUUCUAAGGGCUAAAUUGGAAUUAAAGUAUCUAUAAGAGAAAACUUUACAAAUUCCAAAACUUGAGGGCAAGUUUUGAAACUAUUCAAAACUAAUUAAUUCCAUAACUUAUGUGUUUAAAGUAGUUUUAAUUAAAAAACUCUUCAAGUUCUAUAACUUGAGGACAAGUUAUGGAAGACUUUAAACUUAAUAAAAGAAUGUAACUUAUCUUUAUUUUAUAACUUAUGAAAUUAUUAAGGUUACACAUUUUUAUUUUUAAUGAAGUGACUCUUGAACCUCCAUAACUUGAGGACAAGUUAUGGAGUCAUAAAAAAAAUUCAUGAAAACAAGACUCUUCAUUUUGUAACCUCGCCGACUUUUAUGAGUUUUAUGAAACUUAAAUGUGACUUUUCAUAUAACUUGAGGACAAGUUACAAAAACACAUUUUAGAAUCAACUCUUAGAUUAAUUUGGAUUGAAAACAAUAAUUUCACAUAACUUUCUAUUAAUCUAAGCAACUCAUAAGAACAAGAUAAUUCAAAUCAAACUUUUUCAUGUAAUUAGCCUAAUCACUAAACUAAUUCAAAACAUGAAAUUAUUGACAAUUAUCUUUGAAAUUGGAUUAGCAUGAACAUUAGCACAUCAAAAACAAGUUUAUAAGUUCAAAAACAACUUAAGGUAAUGUUCCUAGUCCACUUCUAGCCAAAAACCUCGAAAAUAUGCGGUCUGGGGCUCCUACUCGUCGAGUGCAUGAACCUACUCAGCGAAUAGGAUGAUUUUACUCAUGGAAUCGGCGAGUCCAGUGCCCAGAAAGCCAGAAAAUCGAGUUUUCCAGCAUUUUUCAGCAAUUUGCAUCAAGUAUAAUUGAAAACAAACCUAGGCUCUGAUACCAUUGUUGGGUUUUGGGCAUUCUAACACUCCUAAGUGUACAUGCAACCCUAAAUACCUUGGAUCUAUGUUUUCUCUAUUAUACAUGCAAAUAUGAACAUCCAAGGUAUUAUCCUAAUCUAGCAUACAAAAUAAUGGGUAUAACAAGAUAGAAUACAUACCUCUUUGAUGUAGAAUGUCUUCAUGAAGCUUGAGUGCCUAGUGCCUCAAGUGUGACACGUCAAAUGGUUCACACAACACCAAAUACACAUGGAAUAACUUGAGAGAAAUCUACGCUUCAUGAAAUCAGCUAGCCCUUCUAUUACACACACUAUUGCAGAUUUUAGUCAAGAAUAAGAUGCAUAUAUAGUUAGGGUUACACCAUGUAAACCCUAAUUGUCAUGGACUUUCAUUUCCAUGAUCCAUGGGUACAAAUACACCAUGGAGCAUCAUAUGGGUUUUAGCCCAACUACAUAAUCCAUGGAGCAUUAGCCCACUAGAUAAGUAUGGAUGAUUUUCACAAUCAACCCAUAUAUUUAAUUAGUCUUCUUUUGAUCACUUAAUUAAUCCUAGAUUAAUUCUUGAUCAAUACUAAUUAAAUAAUCUUAUUAUUCUUAUUAUUAAUAUACUAGAACUUAUAAUAUAUUAAUAACCAUAAGUGUCUUAUUUCUCUCAUUAUAGUCUAUCCAAGUGCAUGAUGGUAUGCAACCCAAAUGGACCAUGCCGGGUCGGGUCAAGUCUUACCAAUUAUAGUUAUGGACUUAGACAUUAAUCCAACAGUCUCCCACUUGGAUAAGUCUAAAACUAUUAUUGCGUAUGACUUCAGGAACCAACUGGCAAUCGUAGCUCUCAAAAGCUUCUGUCGAACUCUGACCUUGUAGAUGAACUCUGACCUUUGUCAGUGACUUGUCCAUUAGAUAANCUGCAUAGCGCUCAUCAAAAUACUCAACCAUGGCGGUCUUGAUUGACCCAAACAAUUCUGGCAACUCAGCCCGGAACAACGCAACAACCUCCUCAUGCAGAAUCUCAUGAAUCCUAUCAUCCAACUCGACUGUGCUCCUCUGCCCAAUAACCUCGGGCGGUACUGACCCACCCUGACUGCCCUUUUCUUCUCCAGAUCCCGAUCCGGAUCCACUCCCAGCAUGCCUCGAAACCUCCAUACUGAAAAACAGCGCAAGAUCUCAGAUACUUCCCAUUAACCUGGGAACCAAUCCCCAACCCAUCCCUAGAGGUUAUGGUUUCUUUGAUACGCGUAUGGGUCCUGUGCUUUCAGUAGUACGGGCCCAUACUACCUUCCAAACCUACCCAUAUUUGUGUCAAGUAUACCACAACACCCUAGCGAAGAACAUACAUAGCAAGCACUCAACCCUCACUCCUAGAGGAACACUGGAAGCUUCUUACAUUGGAAACCCUAGGCUAACAGGCAUCACAAAUCAAGCAACAUUAUCAUGAAAUCCUGAAGAUCCCUGGCCUAGUACUAGCAUACUGUUCUAUCAAAGCUGAAAAACAAAUAACAUGUAUGAUAUUUUGGGGUUACUUACUGGCCCUGGCUGAUCGUACCCCCGUGUCCUCCUUUACUCAUUUUGAAAACCAUUUUAAAUUCUCUUUUGAAAACCCUCCUCGAUUUGAGACUGGAUUCACACAAAUGUUCCUCCAAUUCACUCAAACCAAGGCUCUGAUACAAACUUGUAACACUCUAAAAAUUUAAGCAAAUUUAAACUUUUCUAAAACAACCCGGUUUCAUAAAGUUAUUAUGAAAAGACCUUAGAUCAAUCGAUUUAUCAAAAAAUGACCGUAAAUAAGAACAAUAAGAUUUCACAAAGAAAAACUUUCACUAAGAAUGAUAAUCUCACAAAGAGAUUAUCGUGUGCACAAAGCGGCUAUUAGGGUUUGUAAAAAGCAUCAUGUUACACAAACCGAUACAAAAGAAUAUAUACUACUAUUCUAGACAAUGCCUACAAAUCAGGGAUAUACAGCUAACUAAACUAUGUUAUCUAAGGAAACAAGAUAAAUACAAGAUCUGUUACAACGUGCAGAAUGAAACUAUAUACACUGAGCUAUUGUGAUGCUGAUGUUGAGAUACUAACAUCAUCAUAUUUCAAGGUUUGACCUUACAAUCUCCCCCAAUAUGAUGAUGUUCAAAACCAACUAUAUUAGAACACCUCUAGACAAGAAUUCCUCAUACUCAGCUUCAGCUUCAAUUUUCACAGGCCAGUAAGGACUAUCCAACAGCUCCUGUCUUCUAUUCAGCAGCUCCAUAGCAAUAAGGAUGUGAAACUCUCCGGAUAGAUUUUGAUGACUCAUGCUUAUUUGCCUUAAGCCAAUGAGAUGAGUUGUUGGAGCCCUUGGAAUCUCAGCAGUUCGUUGAAUACACAUUUUUCUAUUUUUGUCGAGAUAGAACAUCCCGUGUUUAGGAACUGAGAUAAAUUUAUGUUGAACUGGCUCAACACCAAUAGGAAGAGAGUUGUUUAUCCCUCUAGCACCAAAGUUUAGAACCAACACAUCUUCACCAUCAACUUGAAAUUUGGUUCUUAGGAUUCUUGGAACAGAUGAACUUUGGCCUUGAUGUUGUGAUCGUUCUUUAGGAACAAGGUCCAAAUGCUGAACUUUCUUGAUCAGUAGAUGAAGAGCACAUGUCAGUUCAGAGGAGAGAGCUGAAGUUUGCUUGGAAGCUAAUUCGAGUAAUUCCAUCCAUUCAGAAUAUCCAUAUUUGAUUAGCUCAUCCCUUUUAACAACUUCAGUGUAUGGAUGUUGAGGACCUUGACGAGUGAUCAACAAUGUAUGAACUUUCUCAUUACGCGGUUUAGAAGCUUUAACUUUGAUAAUUUUAUCACUACACACUCGUCGUUUAAAAACAUCUUGAAAUCUCUUUCGAUCAGUCCUAUCAAGAACACUAUCAGUCUUAGACUUACUGCAGCUGGGAGAAGGCCGAGAAGAUUUGGAUUUGGACUGAUAUUCCAAAAAUUUCUGCAUCUGAGCUUCAAAGGAUCCUUUGACCUAAAGUUGAUGCUGAAUGAGAGAUUCAUCAGCUUGAGCAAUAUUCUUUAGAAGCUGAGCUUGAUUGGAUUCAUCAAGAAUUUGCUUAACUUGAUCAGGAGACAUGUUCCAUUCAAUUGCCAAGUUGGAUAUGCUGACUAUGGACUUAGGUUUCUUGCAAGGGAGAGAGGUAUCAGUGUGUGAAGAAACCAAGACAAUAUCUGCUGCCUUGUGCUUGCGAGAAAGAGGUUGAGAAUCCUCACUGGCUAUAUCUGAAUCUUCUCCUUGGACUGGAAUAAUAGGAUCAAUGAAAUUCAUGUCCAACAUCUGACACUCAUCAUCUUGUUUUUCUUCAUUAUCAAGCUCACCACUAUCUUCAACAAACUUUUCAGUAUUAACAAGCUCCACAGUAUCAGACUCGUGCACAGGUUGUGGUGACUCAGUAUCUCCCUUCUUUGGAUUAUUAUCAGUGGGCUGUGGUGACUCAGUAUCUCCCUCCUUUGGAUUAUUAUCAGUGUCUUCCCCUUUUUGAGCAUCAUCAUUUUGUGGGCCAGGGUUAGGAGUAGAGAGAAUAACUCCUUUCAGUUGAUGAACAUCAACUUCAAUUCGAAGGAGACGCUGACUCAUGUCUCGAGUCAGUGUAAGAAGCUCAUUAAAAGCUGAGGAUGGGAUUUGGAUGAACCGAGUACCUGGAAGCUUGUGGGAUUGAUGUUGUGUCCCUUGAGAAGAUUGCUACCCCUGAGAAGGUUGCUCCCCCUGAGAUGGUUGCUCCCCCUGAGCAGAUGGCUCCCCAUGAGUUGAGUGAAUCUUUUCAGUGACAGAGAUGGUAUGAUGAGAAAGCUGAGGAGAAAUUUGACCAACUCGUGGACUAGGAUCAUUGUGAAUGUCAGCAUUAGUGUUGUUUACAUCAUCAACUCCUUCAUUAGUAUCAGCGGUGAGUGAAGGAACAGUAUAUGGAUUUGCAAUCUGUUCUCUCAUCCGAUCAGAGAUGCCGAUGUCAAAAUCCAACGGAUCAUCCUGAUACAUUCGAGUUGACAUGCGUGGGCUUUGGAUGAGGUUUCCAGAGUGUGAGUAAUAAUCUACAGCGAAAAAUUUAUCUAACACAAGAGCAAUCCAUCGUGGAAAGGGGACAUGAUCAGCACGUACAUUGGCACGAAGAAGUUGAAGAAGUUGAUCAAAGAAGAAAGCCCCAUAAUCAAGUCUUUUGUUGAGAAGAAGUGAACAGACGACUUGUUGCUCAUAAGUGCUCAGUUGAUCACCACUUCGAGACUUAUGACCCACACAUUUGCACAGAGCACUGGUGAAGAAUUUCCAUCCUAGAGUCAUACAUUGACGCAGAAUGAGAGAUGAUCGAGUACCAGCCUUUGAGUGAUCAUAUCCCAGUUGAUCAAAAAGACGUCGACAACGUUCAAUAAGAGGAAGUUCAGAGAAGGGUUCAAAGAUUGGUAACCUGAGCGCAGCACUGAGGAGGUCAGCGGUAAUAAAUACUGAGUGUCUUCCACGGCCAAUAGUCCCAGAGAUGACAUUGUUUUCUUCAUNGGCCAAUAGUCCAGAGAUGACAUUGUUUUCUUCAUUGAUUGUUGUAGUGUAGUAGAACUCACAGACUUGUUCAGGAAAGAACUCUGAUGGAACGUCACUGAUUGCGUAUCAGAGCUGGCAGGAGGCUAGAAAAUUAACAAAGUCAUCAAGUCCAAGACCUCGAUGAACAUCUGAAAUGUCAGGGUUGAAGACAACAUUGGUGGCUUUGAUGUAUAUUGGAAGAGGAGGAGAGUUUGGAGCAGGGAUUACUCUUCGUGAAGUGGAGGAGAAGGUGAAUAGUGAUGCCGCCAUUGAAGAAUUUUAGGAUUCUAGGGUUUUGAAAAGAAACGAAGGAAAUUUGAAUUGUGGAAGGAAGGUUUGAAAAAGAGGAGGAAAGAGGUUUAAAUAUGGAACGAAACGGGUUUUAAAAGGUAAUUAUUAUCUUCUUCAAAAAUAACUGCGUAUCGUAACAACCUGUCAAAUCAGUAAGAUAGCCGUUGGGCAAAAAGAGCCGUUGGACUGAAGAUGAAACGACAAUCAGUGGCUGCGGAAGCACUGAGAUCAAUGUCACAAAAGUUACAUGCUGAGGAUGGUUCUCCGUCAAUUCAAGGUACAACUUGCUUGAUUAAGGCUAGCAAGGAGGUUGGUGCGUGUGGUAGAUACUAGUUACAUUAUCUAACCAUCGGCACAGAGUGUUGUGUCUUUAUCAAUGAGUGGUUCGUCUUACUGAAUCAUUAGACACUGAGUGAGAAGAAGGUAAAGAGAGGAUUGUUGUGUGUGAUAGACCGUGGUGUUUUGGUCUAACCAUCGGCAAAGACUGUUAGACUCUCAUCAACGUGUGUUUUGUCACACUGAAUCAUAGAACCAGUGAAGAUUGGUAAGAAGAGAUAGUUGCAUGUGAUAGAUCUUGGUGCUUUGAUCUAACCAUCGGCAAAGAGUUUCAAGUUGUUAUCAGUGUAUGGUUUAGUACAGUGAAUCAUUCAACUUUAGUUUAGAAGACUUGAAGAAGAGAGAGAGAUAAGAGAUCAAACCAAGGACUUAGUAUGAAAAAUCAUCAUCAAGUCAUCAUCAGCAAAAAGUACAUCAGCUUAUAAGACAAUAGAAAACAUUAGCAAAAUAAAUUACAAAGAAAUCAUUCCAAGUUCUCCAAUAAUGUGAGCGGUUGUUUGAGAAUCCAGUGCCUUGGUGAAGAUAUCAGCUAGUUGAUCUGAAGUCUUGACAUGUUCAAGAACAACCUUGCCUUUCUCAACAUUAUCUCUGAUAAAGUCAUGUCUGAUUUUGAUAUGCUUUGUCUUUGAGUGCUGAACAGGUUUUUGUGUGAUCUGAAUGGCACUGGUGUUAUCACAGUAUAUGGGAGUCUUUGUGAACUUGAGCCCAUAGUCUAGAAGCUGAUUCUGAAUCCAUAAGAGCUGAGCACAACAUCUUCCAGUUGCAACAUACUCAGCUUCUACAUUCGAGAUAGCUACUGAUGUUUGCUUUUUGCUAGACCAGCUGAUGAGACGAUUUCCAAGGAAAUGACAUCCACCUGAUGUACUCUUUUUGUCUAAGUUGCAUCCUGCAUAGUCUGAAUCAGUGUAUCCAAAAAGUUCAAAUGCUGAGUCGCGAGGAUACCACAGUGCUAAGUUCUGAGUCCCCUUUACAUAUGAAACGUUUUGAAAAACCACGUUAUUGCACUUGAUAUUUCCAUAUCCUUUAGUGAACCCCUUUCCAUUGUCUCCGUAUGUAACUGCACGACCAGUUUUCUUGACAUACUCUUCCAGGAGAGACUUGGAUCCUGUCAUAUGUCUUGAGCAACCACUAUCGAAGUACCAAAGAUGCUCCUGACCCUGCAGUGCUGAGAAACUAGAUAGAACACACUGACCCAUUCGAAGAUGGGUCAUUCACAAAGUUAUUUGAUAAUAAGUUAUAACAUUCUUUAGGAAGACAGUUUAAAGAAUUUGACUUAAGAGUCCAUUUUUCAUUUCUAACUUUAAUGUUAUCAGCUCUUAAAGAUGUUUCAUCAAAUGAACAUUCACUGAUCUUAUGAGAGGUAUCACCACAUCUGUAACAAACUCUAGUACCAAAGUUCUUCUUGGUGAGCAUAUUUCUAGACUUAACACAUUUAGACUUGUAAGAUUCACCAAGUGAACUUUGAAUCCUUUUGUUUAUCAUUGAAUCACAACUGAAUUCAGAGUCAAAUAAAUUAUGAUCAGUGAUAGAUGCGGAGCUGACAUCAAUAUCUGAUUUUGACUUAUUCUUAGAAGCAUUACAAUCAGUAAAAUACUUAAGUUGUUCAUGAACAGCGUGAAACACUCCAUUUGAGAUAGGGAAGGCAAUAAUAUUCCCAGUGAGAGGAGUUGGUCUUACAAGAUGUGCAGGGUAAGAGGUUGGAUCAAUUCCGGUAAUUUCAACAUCGCACUUAGUAACACCAUUAGAGUUAGUAACACAGUAUUCAUCAAUUAGACUCUGAUUAAUAAAAGAGUUACUGACAAACUUGUUUUUGAAAUUGUUUUUCACCUCAUUCAUGGAAUAAAAUUCAGAUUCUUUUUCUUGUGAUUUAAAAACCUUUUCAGCUUCUGCAAAGUUACCCCCAAGAAUUUUCUCACAUGAAUGUGGAAUUUGAGCAGAAAUAAUAUAAUUAGCAUUUUUGUGAGAUUUCGGCCAAAUUUGAAGCACAGCUUGUUCUUUGAUCAAAAGAUCUUUAAUAUUAUCAAUUUCAGCAGACAAAGAUGAGUUUGACAAACUAGUGAUUCUAAGAUUUUUCUGAGUGGAAUUAAUAAUGUUAUUUUUCAUGGAUAUUUUAGUUUUGAAAAAAUCAAGUUGAUUUUGCAAAUCCUUUAUUGUUUGAUUCUUCUUAGAUUUAAAGAACACCCAAAUACUCAAACAUUUUAUUUUUUCAUUCAUUGAAUAAGAAGCAAAGUUUUUAACCUGAUACAUUGAAGGAGUGUCAGUGUUGUGCUUCCUGGAAUAUUCAACUGCAUCAGACAUAUCCGCAUCAAAUGUACUUGUGUUGUUUUCACAAUCAUCACUGUCUUCUAUCUUGACCAUCAGACGCUUAAAUUCAUCAUCUGAUGACUCCUCAUCAGUCUUCCAUUUUUCUUCUUCAGCAACAAGAACUUUAUGUUCCAAGUUCUCUGCUUUCAGUUUCUCAACCAACUUGUUGUACUUCUGCUUCCAGAAUUCAUCCGAGCUUUGGGUUUUUUGUUUGCAUUCUUUUGCAAAAUGAUCAAUGCUCCCACAGUUAAAGCACUGAGCUUUCCCUUUCUUAUCAGUACCAUGCUUUUUAUCAGCGUCUGAUCUUUUUGAAAAUUUACCACCCAUCUUCUUCUGAAACUUUGAGAAGUUUCGGCCUGAUUUCUCAAAAGUCUUUACAUUCAAAGCUGCACUGGCUACAACCUUUUUGAGAUCAUCAGUGUCGCUUUUAGAAGAAUCAGAGUCUGAAUGGUUUUCAGUGUCUGACUCUGACACUUGCUUUUUGUUUGAGAAUAAACUACAGAUGAUUCACGCUGAGAAUCCUUCAUCAGCUCCUUUCUCUGAAGCUUGGAUUCCUCAUAGUAUCGUAGGUUUCCAUAGAGGCUUUGUAAGUCCAUAGUGUUGAUCUUCUCACUGUUUUUCAGCACAUCAACAUGGUUCUCCCAACCUGCACCCAGAGAAUCCAAAAACUUCUACACUAGAACAGUUCGAUGCUUCAACUGAUCUAGUCUCCGUAGAUCAUUAACAAGAGUAUUGAACCUGUUAAAGGUUUGAGUCAAGGUUUCACCUUUCUUUGCAAAAAAAUGUUCAUACCUUCUGUUUAGGUCAUUUAUUUUAGUGGCUUUGACUUCUUCAGUGCCUUCAAAAGAUACAGUCAGUGUAUCCAUCAUCUCUUUUGCUGAGACGCAGUUCUGAACCAGCCCAAAGAUAUUGUAUGGCAAUGCGUAGCUGAUUGCAGCCCCAGCACGAACAUCUAGACCAUUUUUCUUUUGUCAUCUGCCGUCCAGUUUUCUCUAGGUGUUUUCUUCAUAGCACCAUCAGGAACGUUGUUUUUCAGAGGCUAAUACAUCGGAAUAUAUGGACCCUUUUCGACGAUGUCCAACAUGUCUUCAUCUACUGACUCUAAAGCAUUUAGAGCCUUUAUUUCCACAUAGCAAAAUUUGUUUCAUCAAAAUGAGUAAUUUUAGCGGAAGGAUGAUUUGAUGAGAUUGACGAAGAAGAAGAUGAAGCCAUUUGUUUGAUAAAAGAAACCUGCUAUGAUACCAAUUGAAAAGACCUUAGAUCAAUCGAUUUAUCAAACAAUGACCGUAAAUAAGAACAAUAAGAUUUCACAAAGAAAAACUUCCACUAAGAAUGAUAAUCUCACAAAGAGAUUAUCGUGUGCACAAAGCGGCUAUUAGGGUUUGUAAAAAGCAUCAUGCUACACAAACCGAUACAAAAGAAUAUAUACUACUAUUCUAGACAAUCCCUACAAAUCAGGGAUAUACAGCUAACUAAACUAUGUUAUCUAAGGAAACAAGAUAAAUACAAGAUCUGUUACAACGUGCAGAAUGAAACUAUAUACACUGAGCUAUUGUGAUGCUGAUGCUGAGAUACUAACAUCAUCAUAUUUCAAGGUUUGACCUUACAUAUUACAAACAGGUUUUCAAUGCAAUUAUUAUCAGAAUCUUCCCAGAACCACAACAUAAAACAUAAUCAUGAGGAGCGGUAGGAUCACGCCUUUGCGUUGCCACGGUCUCCUGAAGAACCUGAAAAAAAUUAAACCCCAACUAUAAGCCCGAAAGCUUAUUGAGAUACCCCCAAAAUACCAACCACAUAUACCAUACACGCAUAACAUGCCAUAUCAUAACAGAACACAGAACAGCCAUGCACUUCGGGUCUACUGUGUGACUGGUCUACUCGCACUGGGCCUUCAGUCCACCUGGUCCACCCUCCGAGUCUAACCACAUACAUCGAGUUUGCAGUGUGAUUGGUCCGCCCGCACCGGGCCUUCAAUCCACCUGGUCCACUCUCUGAGUCUACAGUAAGACUGGUCCGCCCGCACUGGGCCUUCAGUCGGUUUGGUCCACUCUCCGAGCCUCGGCACGUCUGGUCCGCCCUCUUGGGGCCUACAACCUAUCCGGAUCGUUCGUUGGGCCUUCAAGAUAACCGUUCCACCCUAGGUAUGUUGGCCUACAACACAAAGCAAGACCGCCUCAACCCACCCCCAGUUCCACAACCAUGUGCACAUAUACAUUCAAACAUAUAACAAUUCACAUUCAAUCAAACCGAUCUAGCAGAUCACAUAGCAUAACAUCAUCCUAACCAGGAUACCGACCAUAACCAGGUCUCUAACAUAUACCAUCCUAUAUACCAGGAUACCGACCUUAACCAGGUCUCUAACAUAUACCAUCCUAACUACUAGGAUACCGACGUUAACCAGAUCUCUAACAUAUACCAUCCUAACUACCAGGAUGCAAACAUAACAAUUAAUUAACAUAACAACGAUACUCGGAUCACAAUCCGAUAAAGGGCCGACCUUGGUGCCUUAGACCCUGUUGAUAUAUUGAGGAUAACUCACCUCGCAACUGCCGACUGAAAAGAUAAACCCAAGUUGCUCCGAUCACUGAUACGAUCUCCAACACUGGCCAACACCAAAACGCUGAACUCAAAACAAAAGCCAACAAUUACCAAAAUGCCCCUGGAAAUCAACUGGCCACCCUAGGUCAAAGUCAAAGUCAAAGUCAACCCUGACUGACUCUACUCGCCGAGUCCACCCGAUGACUCGCCGAGUCCCUAUGCACAGAACUUCCCCAAACCGCGACUCAACUCGCCGAGUCACCCCGAGACUCGCCGAGUCAACAACUCUGAGUCCCCUCGCACUCAACUCACCGAGUCCUCCCUUGACUCACCGAUUCACGGCUCAAACAGAAGGAGGUUAGGACCUCAAGACCAGACUCGCCGAGUCCAAGGCUAUCUUCAACCAACUCGCCGAGUUGUUCUUCAAACUCGUCGAGUUCCUGCCCACCUUCAUGCAACUCGCCGAUUACUCCCAUGUGAGUCGCCGAGUAGCCCUAGAUCUGAACCCAUACAGAGGCUUUCCAAGCCAUGUAGAUGCUCUAAACCAUAGAUCUACCCUUCUACAAGCCAUCCAUAAUGUAAAGUGGCAAACUUUACGUGAAUCCAAGUAGAUCUAAUCAUUUCACACUCUAGGGUUUGGGUUUGGGAUAAGAUGGCUUCACCAAUCACUCAAGAACAAGGACUUUAAUGCACCCUAGACCUUCUCCAUUCCAGAUCUGAGGUAGCAACCUCAGAUCUUACCCCCAAACUCAAAACAUCACAAGCUAUUCUUUCCAAACACUCCAAAAUGAUGAAUAAUAGCCCAAGCAACGAAAUAAUACCUCAAAAGGAAGCUCCAACAGAAGAGAAUACGAGUCCUAGCAAAGCCCCUUGCUCCAAACCUUUUAACUCUCCAAGAUCUCUUCCAAAAUCUCUUCUCCAAGGUUCAAAAGCCCUCAAAAUAACUCACAAACGCUCCUUAGGGUUUUCUAGACUUCAAGAGAGGGUAAAGAGGCUGGGGGAAAGGUAUAAUGUCCUUUAUAUAGGGCUCAUCCUCCGAAAUUAGGGGUUUCUCCACACAGCACCAACUUGCCGAGUCCAGCUGCUGACUCACCGAGUUGGCCACUUAACACACGACCAGAAUCGCGACCUUACUCGCCGAGUCCACCCAUGGACUCAUCGAGUUCCCCUUUCACAUUUACACUUUGGACCUUGAAGUUGCACUCUUGAACUCGGGAUGUUACAAACACAAGAAUAAUCGAAUACAAUAUGGUUUCAGAACUUAUGAAUAUAAAUAAAAUACCUUUUAUUUAUCACCAUAUUGAUUACCCAUGAUUUAUUUCAUACUGUUUCGAGCUAUCAACUUUAUACUUGAAUUAAAACAAUAGUUGUCUCAUGCUCCAAGCAUGUACACUAUGUUUUCUAAACACUAGUCAUGCCAUACACUAAGUAUGCACACUAUGUUUGUCCAAACAUUAGUUAUGCCAUACACCAAGUAUGCAUAUUAUGUUUGUCUAUGAUCUUUACUUUGUGAAAUAGAUCGAUUGAACAUAAUUCCAAUGAUUCUCAUUUCAUAAUCCCAAAUCCUUACCGAAAAUGCAAGAAUUCCAAAUCCUGCCAUUUACCUAAAUCUGUUAGAUUCUAAACUUAUAUGCAUUGAUCCUCUUGUAAUGAUUAUGCACAAAUUCACAAAGAAUUCUCAAUAAACAUUACAAAGUAUUCCAAUGGAGACCAACUACAUGGAAAUGAAGUCUCAUAUUCAAAGUUCAUUGCCUUUGAACAUUCUUCUUGCAUUAAGUUUCCUAAUCUUACACAGAUUUAAUGAAUAACUUCCACCUAUGGGAACAACUCCAUAUUCCCAUUUUGGCAAUCACUCCUGAACAAGAGUUACCUCUUUCCAGAAUAUGUCAAUAUCGUCCUUCCAAAAUUAGAACUAUACUUCCAACUGUCCUUGAGCAACCAAUCUUUGGUAAACCUUAGAUUGUCCUUGACAAUUGCUUAAUCAUUUUAGUCAUAUCAAAUUCUAGACCUUUUCCCUUCUUAAUGCCCUAGGAAUUUGGAAAAUUUUAGAAAGGAUGAAUAUUAUAGCACAUGCAAUCGAUCCUAUAUCCGGAGCGUAUGGGACACGAUUCAUGAUGUCUCACAUAAAGACAUGAUACUAGACCAGUCCUUUUAGCUACAAUAUUUCUAUUUGCCAAAUUCUCAUAAUUCAGAUUAUUAAAAGGGAUGUCGUAAUCAUAAUCGAAUUUUAGAACGCAAAUAAUGUACCUAUAUAUAGAAUUUCCUUAUGUAGAGCCAUUAUAACACAAAAUUCAUAUAUAUCCUUGAUUAAAUAUGAUUGAAACCUCAACCUAAGCUUUUAGAAUUGAGAUGAAGUAUAAUUUCCUCUCCCUUAAUUAUAGCAAAACAACUUUUCAACCCCUACAACUUCACGAACUGAAACUUUUGUUUUCUAUAUUUAACAUUGCUGUAUUGCAAUACUAAUAAUAAUUAUCAUGCUCCCACUAACAUGAUGAUUAUUAGCAUAACACUUAUGCUCCUACUAGCUUUAGCAUGUACUCAGAAAUCAGUUGAACUUCUAGAAAUCAAUACUUUAUUGACUUUCUUACCAAAUUUCAUAUUUCUGAUACGAGAUGUUUCGAUAAUACUUUAUCAAAAUCACACACCUUUCCUUACAUAGCUCACAUGUGUGUCUAAACAAUUUUUAGAACUAUGAAAAGGGAUGUCUUAAUCAUAGUUUGAAUUGUUUAGACCUUUUCCAUUCCUCACAAGUCUAUGUUGGUGUGCCAGUUAACUACACACGCUCCACUAACGACUUUGAAAAUGCACAUAUCACAACACUUAUCUACUUAAAUUUUAUGGUGUAUGUGUUCCUAUCCAUGUGAAUUUGUCAAAACCAUAAUCACAAGACAAGGUUAGUGACAAAUCCAAACUCUUAUGGAUUGAAAUUGUUCAGUCUUAAUUUCUUGCCACCUGGAAGCACAAGGGUCUGCCAAUACUUCCAAGUGGUUAUGCAACCAAUUAAGAACUCUCAGAACUCAUAUGUAAAGCAACUUUAACAGGAAUGGGCACAUAAAUAUAAAUAUGUCAACACGAUAGGUUAUAAACCUCACAUCGUGUGCUAGUGAUAAACUACAAGUUUUUAUUCUUGAUUAGAUCUUGAAAUUCUUUUAGGAUCUUUAAGACUCCCACCGUCCUCUUGACAUAUAAGACUCCCUUACCAAAUAUUCAACAGAUAGUGCGGCUUAUUUAUCAAGACAAACACUUCACACAAUUGGCCUUAAUUGGUCUUUGUUUUAUCCAAAACAUCACAACUUACCAAUUUCAAAUGUACAAGAGUAUGACACUUUUACUCUCACAUUUGACAAAUAUUAUAAACCUUUCUUUAAGAUAUGUCACUCAAGUUACAAUAUUGGAGUAUGACUCUAAGAAUUUGUUUUGGAACGAUGUAUGACUCAUCUUCUUGAUUUAACCAUUUCAUCAAUUCAUGACUUCUCUUCUUAGCCAUAAGAAUGCACUAAGAUGUCCUUAGAGACCAAUUGUAAUAUGGUUAUUUAAUCAUUAAGAUGAUCACUAAACAUGAUACUAAAGUACUCUCCCAUCUUUUUGGAUUUGAGAAACUUUUAUCCUUCGGCCUAAUUUGAUUCUUCUCAUUCGUUCUGCGAUACAUCGAUAGUUUUUUAAUGUUUCAGAAUUAUACUAAAACUUGUAAGUAUAACCAUAUUUACUAAACUUUAGUAACUCAUGACGAAUAGUCUUAUCGAUCUUUUGUGGUGGACUUGACCAGUGCACAAGAAUGUGUACUCGAUCCCUUAGUCCUUCACUUGACUCACAUAUACAUGUGAACAAGAAAUUAGUCUUAGUUUUUCAAUGAUGAAAAUUCUGAUUCAUCAUACUAUACAACUUGUAUGAUUCCAAGUUUCUAUCCAACUAAAAAAACUUGGGUGAUGAGAAUCUUUCCUUAUUUGGUAAAUUUAGACACUACCACAAAUGAAAAAAAAAUCAAAUUCAUAUUUCUAUUAUUCCUCUCAAUGGAAUCAUAUAAGUAACAAUUUUUCACAAAUGCCAUUGUAAGGAUACUUAGAAUAAAUGGAAUCAAAACUUUUCCUUUAAUUUUAAAGCUUUGCGGAAGCACUUAUCCUUACAGUGCAAAAGCAUAUGAAAAACCUGUUUUUAUUUAUUCCUAAGCAAUAACUCAAAAUUCUGAUCACCAAACCAUGCGAUCAAAAUCCAUCUUCGCGAUCAGAAUCAACAUAUACUUCCUUUAAGUUUCUUCACUUUUCUUUGAUUCUUCAAACAUCAACAUGUGAACCAGUCACAUCAUGUAACAAGAAUCUCAGAAUAGAAACUUAACAGAGUUAGAUAGUGGACUUUACCUGAAGUAGAGUCAAACUUCUUCACUUGAUCAACCUUAUGAUCUUUUAGGUAAAUAGGCAAGUUUGCAAUCAAUACCCCUUCCUUUGGCAAUAGACACAAAUGGACACUUUGGGAAUGGUAGAUGGGACUAUUUGAGACUUGCCUUUCUCUUUACCAUUUGGUCAACCCAGUUGACUAUGGUCAAUCCCAUUCCUUGGGAAGAGAAGGCUUUUCUAUAUAUCCAAUGUUACCAUUGUCAAUGUCCAUCGUAUUUUGAGAAGUUGAUAUACUAAUCAAAUUUUGUUUAUCAAAGGUCCAAAUCAUUGCUGAUUCAGCAACACCAAGCAAAUAGAUAAGAUCAUUAAGGGUCAUGUCAUAGUCUAUUUCAUAGUAGUCCCAGAGGUAACUCACUAUAUGACUUAGAAAGUGAUUGAACAUCCAACUUUCUUAAGACUUUGAAACCCAACUCUUCCGGCUUCUCAAUAUGUGACUUCAUCUCCAAGAUGCAAUCACACAUAGACCUUGCUUGCCAAUAAGGCUUGAGUGACCUUGAACUUGUGGGUUAGGGAGAAUAAUUGGAGGAGGUGGAGGAAGUAAAGUUCCAAGAGAUUUGGGAAGAUCAUAGAUGUUUGAACUAGACAUCUUUUUGGAGAUAUUCAAGAUAGUUGAUCUAAAGUGUUUAAUAUAACACCCAAUAUGACAUAUUAAGGCUAGGACCCAACGCAAUACUUUUAUAACUUGCAACAGGGAUGUCGUAAUCCAAGCUAUAAAAUAUUUGAAGGUAGCCAAAUCAUGAUUCACCAAUUUCCACCUUGAAAAUGAAAUAAUUUAAUUAGGUUUUACUUGGAUUUGAAACUCCUAGAUCUUUUGAGAUUCAUUGAAAUGUUCAAUGGAAUUUUUCAAUCUCGAUUGUGCCCUCUCAAAAAUUUGUGAUUGGGAUGUCGAGGAUCACAAAACCGUUGGGUUUUAGUAUACUACAACAUCCUAAGGUGCACAUACAACCCUAAAUACCUUGGAUAUAUGUUUUCUCUAUUAUACAUGCAAAUAUGAAGCUUCCAAGAUAUUACCUUAUACUAUCAUACAAAUAUCAUAUACUUGGGUAAUAAAAUAGAUAGAAUACAUACCUUUUUGAUGUAACUUGUCUUCAUGAAGCUUGAGUGCCUAGUGCCCCAAGUGUGACACCUCAAAUGGUUCACACAACUCCAUGAACACUUGGAAUAACCUUGAGAAUAAGGAUAAUUUGGUUUUCUCUAGUGAAAUCGGCCUUGCCCUUUCGUGUACACACACUAAUGCCAAUUUCAUCAACCAAGGACUUCUUUAUAUAGUGUGGAGAUUAGGGUUAAACCCUAAUACCCAUGACCUUUCAUUUCAUAUGAUCCAUGGGUUAAACACUCCAUGGACUAUCCCUGAAAGCUUAUCCCAACCUAAAUGAACUUGGCCCAUCACACAUAUAUAUCUAAGAGUCCAUAUUUAAUUAGUCCCUUUUUGAUCACUUAAUUAAUUAUAAAUUAAAUCUUGAUCAACACUAAUUAAAUAAUAUGAUUAUAUAUUAAUAUAUUAGAACUUAUAAUAUAUUAAUAUAAAUCACUAGUAUCCUUUUCCUCAUCUUGUGAAUCCAAAUGUCCCGAUGCCAUGCAACCCAAAUGGACCGUGCCAAUGAACUCUAACCUUUGUCAAUGACUUUGCCGAUGAACUCUGACCUUUGUCAAUGACUUGUCCAUUAGAUAAGGGAUCAUAUAUUCCUCCAUUCUAGAUAUCAUAUGGACUGAGACAUGGAUUAUAAUCAUUCUCUCUGCCCAUUUGUUGUUUCCUGAUUUCCGAUUUAUGAUGACUGACUGAUUGAACAAAUCAAAUCAGUUUUGGCUUGGCCAAGCACUCACAUGUGUCACCACUAAAUCAUCAAGGGGCCCACAGAUAUCGCUUUUAUCCUAAAGGUAAAAGGAAUGGAUAAAGUUCGACACAUAUGGCUUGUUCUACUACUUUUUGAAUCAUACACAAAGGCACGUUUUAUAACAUCGAGUUACCUAUGCGGUUUUGUGUAAUCAAUGUACAACCAACUCAUACUAACAACGCAUAUCUCUAGGUUUUGUAGAAUAUAAGAUAUUAUCAUCUCAUGAUCACUCGUGAUAAAAUCCAUGAAGUGAUUCCAAUGAGCGCGGGUUGAAUCCAAUACUCAGAACUUAUGAGCACUCAUGAGUGUUGUAGCCCUUUGUCCAACACCUUAGACCUCUACAAGCCAACCCAUGACAGUCUUAAUUCAUAUCUACUUCCAACAUAUGACCGACUGUGGAUGGUUUGAAUAACUUAGUCAUUCCGGAAGAAUAACCUAGUUAUUAUGGAAGUCAAAACAUGAAAAGUGAAACACAAGAAUAAAUGAAUCAAAUAUGGUAUCAAAACCUAUGAGUAUAAAUAGACCACUUUUAUUUAUCACCAUACUGAUUACUCAUUAUUCAUUGUUUCGGUUUUAUCAACUUUGUACUUGAAUUAAAGACACUAGUUGUCCCAUGCUCCAAGCAUGUACACUAUGUUUUUCUAAACAAUUGCUUUGCCAUACACAAAGUAUGUACUCUAUGUUUGUCUAUGAUCCUUACUUUGUGAAAUAAACCAAUUGACCAAACUUUCAAUGAUUCUCAUUUCACACUCCAAAAUUGAAAUCUUGUUAGGCUUUAAGCAUAAAUGCACUAACCUCCUACAAUGAAGGUGUACAAAGUCACAAAGACUUGUCAACAACCAUUACAGGGUAUUCCAAUGAAGACCUACUCCAUGGACACAAAACCUUAUGUUCAAAGUACGCAUUGCUUUGAACAUGCUUCUUGCACUAAGUUUUGUCUAAUCUUACACAAAUUGCUUCUAUCUAUAGAGACAACUCUAUAUUCCCAUUUUGAUUACCACUUCUGAACAAGAGUUGCCUCUUUUCAGACUAUAUCAAUAUGGCCCUUCCGAAAUUCACACUAUACUUCCAACUCUCCUUAAGCAACCAAACUUUGGUAAACCUUAGAUUGUCCUCGACAAUUGAUUAAUCACUUUAGUCAUAUCCAAUUCUAGACAUUUUUCCCCUUAAUGCCCCAAGGCAUUUGGAAAAAUUCAGAAAGGAUAAUUACUAUAGCACAUGUAAUCGAUCUUGUACCCAAAGUAAAUGGGAUACGAUUCAUGAUGUUUCACGUAAAGACAUGGUUCUAGAGCGGUAUUUUGCUAUAAUAUUUUUUGUUUGCCAUAUACUCAAAAUUUGACUAUGAAAAGGGAUGACGUAAUCAUAAUCAAAUUUUGAGAACGCAAUAUAUAGAAUUUUCUUAAGUUGAACCAAUCCAACAUGAAAUUCAUAUAUAUAUNCCACUGACAUGAUGAUUAUUAGCAUAACACUUAUGCUCCCACUAGCUUUGACAUGUACUUAGAAAUCAACUAUUGACUUUCUUACCAAAGUUUAGAUUUCUGAUACUAGAUUGCUUUGAUAAGACUUUAUCAAAAUCAUACACCUUAUAUUAGAUAGCUCACAGGUGUGUCAAAAAUACUUUAGAACUAUGAAAAGGGAUGUCGUAAUCAUAGUCUCAGUUGUUUAGACCUUUGCUAUCUGCUUCAAAUCUACUUGGUGGAAGUGUUUCCUCACCAUCAUUUUCAUGAAUCGGAGAGAAACAUUAUGACCCUUAGAUUUUAUGGUAUAUGUGUUCCUUGUCCAUGUGAAAUUUUUGUCAAAUCCAUAAUCACAAGACAAGAUUAGUGACAAUUCCAAAUUCAUAUGGAUUGAACUUGUACAAUCUUAAAUUUUUGCCACCUGGCAGCUCAAGGGCCUACCAUUGCUUCCAAGUUGUUAUUCAACCAAUUGAGAACAUGUAGAACUCAAAUGUUCUAGCCAACUUAACUGGAAUGGGCACAGAAAUGUCAACACAAUAGGUUAUAAACCUCUAGUUGUGUGCUAGUGAUGAAAUAUAGGUUUUAUUCUUGAUUAGUUCUUGAAACUAUAUCAGCAACUGUUAGACUCCCACUGUCUUCUUGACCUAUAAGAAUUUCUUUCCAAAUAUUCAAGGAAAUAGUGUGGAUUCUAAUCAAGACUAACACUUCACAUAAUUGGCCUUAGUUGGUCUUUGUUUUAUCCAAAACAUCACAACUUACCAAUUUCAAAUGUGCAAGAGUAGAAAACUUUUACUCUUACAUUUAAGAAGUGUUAUAAACCUUCUUUAAGAUAUGUCACUCAAGUUAAAAUCUUGGAGUAUGACUCUAAGAUUUGUUUUCGAACGAAGUAUGACUCAUCUUCUUAAUUUAACCACUUCAACAAUUCACGACUCCUCUUCUUUGCUAUCAGAAUGCACUUAGAGGAUGAAUUGUGAUAAGGUAUCUUAAUCAUUAAGAUGAUCAUAUAUACAUGAUACUAAAGUACUCUCCCAUCUUUUCAGAUUUCAGAAACUUUUAUCCUUUUGCCUAGUUUGAUUCUUCUUAUUCUCUCUGCCAUACAUUUGGAACUUUUCCAAUGUCUCAGAAUUAUACUUAAGCUUGUAAGUAUAAUCAUAUUUACUAAACCUUAGUAAAUCAUGACGAAUAGUCUUAUCCAUCUUUUGUGGUGAAAUUUGGCUAGUACACAAGAAUGUGUGCUUGAUCCCUUAGUCCUUCUCUUGAGUAACAUAUACACGUGAACAAGGAAUCAGUCUUAAUUUUCCAAAAUAAAACUUCUCAUACAUCAUACUAUACAACUUGUAUGAUUCCAAGUUUCGGUCCAAUUGAAACUUGGGUGAUAUGAAUCUUUCCUUAUUUGGUAAAUUUAGACACUACCACAAAUGAAAGAAUCAAAUUCAUAUUUCCACUCUUGCUAUUAAUGGAAUCAUAUAAGCAACAAUUUUUCGCAAAUGCCGUUGUAAGGAUUUUUUGUUAAAAUAAAUAAAUAAAAAAAAUUUCCUUUUAUUUUAAAACUUUGUGGAAAAACUUAUCUUUACAGUGCAAAAGUCUAUGAAAACUUUGUUGUUAUCUAUUCCUAAGCAAUAUAUCAUAACUAAUAAGAAGUAGCUCAAGAAUCCGAUCUUUAAACUAUGCGAUAGAAAUCCAUCUACGCGAUCAGAUUCAACAUACUCUUUCUUUAAGUUUCUUCACUUUUCUUUGAUUCUUAAAACAUCAACAUGUGACCCAGUCACAUCAUGUAACAAGAAUCUCAGAAUAGAAACUUAAUAGAGUUAGAUAAUGGACUUUACCUGAAGUAGAGUCAAACUUAUUGACAUUAGCAUCCUUAGGUAAAUUUGGCAGCCGAGUUGACUAUGGCUGAUCCCUUUCCAUUGGGAAGAGAAUGUUUUUUUCUAGAUUUCCAGUGUCAUCAUUGUCAAUAUCCAUAAAGUUUUGGGAAGUCGAUAUUAUAAUCAAAUUUGCUUUACUAGCCUUCCAAAUCAUUGCUGAUUCAGCAGUACCAAGCAAAUAGAUUAGAUCAUUAAGGGUCUUGUCAUAGUCUGUUUAAUAGGACUCCCAAAGGAACUCACUAUGUGACUUAGAAAGUGAUUGAACCACCAACUUUCUUAAGACUUUGACACCCAACUCUCUUGGCUUGUCAAUAUGUGACUUCAUCUCCAAGAUAUGAUCACACCUAGACCUUGCCUUGCCAAUAGGGCUUGAGUGACCUUGAACUUGUGGGUUAGGGAGAAUAAUUGGAGGAGGUGGAGGAAGUGAAGUUCCAAGAGAUUUGGGAAGAUCAUAGAUGUCUGAACUAGACAUCUUUUGGGAGAUAUUCAAGUUUAGUUGAUUUAAAGUCCUUAAUAUAACACCUAAUAUGAAAUAUUAUGGCUAGGAACCAACAACCUAUUUAUAACUGGAAGAGGGAUGCCGUAAUCCAAGUUAUAAAAUAGUUGAUGGUAGGUAAAUGACGAUUUACCUAUUUCCACCAUGAAAAACGAAAUAUAAUUAAGUUUUAAUUGGAUUUGAAACUCCUAGAUAUUUUGAGAUACAUUGAAAUUUCAACAGCAUGUUUGAAUCUCGAUUGUGCCCUCUCAAUUUUGUGACUGCGAUGCCGAGGAUCACAAACAAGGUGUGAAUAACCAUUCAAAUUGACUUGGUACCUUUAAUUUUAUCACCCAAUAGAUGUGUCGGUUAACCACACGCGCUCCACCGAUCUAUGAUAAAACUUAAGUCACCCUUUGCUUAAAAAUGUCAAUCCCAUGUUAGUGUCCCAGUUAACCGCACACGCUCCACUAACGACUUAAGAAGGGUGCAAAGUGUAAUUUCAUGGGUUAGCACCAAAUUCACAUUUUCCUAAGUAACUAAGAUUGGGAAUUUCUAAGUGUUUAGUUACUUACUAUUUAUCAUUAUACUUUUAAUGAAGAGACAAUUAUAGUCCUUGUCUACCCGUUCGGCUAACGAUGUAACAUCCAUUAAUUUUACACCAAAUUUAAACUUUUCAAUCAUAAAUAAAAACCAAAUUACAUUGUUUACAAAAUGUUUUCAAAUCAUUAUUCAUCAGAGUGUCCCAACAAUCAUAACAUAAGAAUGAGGAGCGGUACAAUCACGCCUUCACCUAUCCAUGAUCUCCUGAAGUACCUGAAACAAUAAACUGAAAACUGUAAGCCCGAGGGCUUAGUGAGCUACCCCCAAAUUACCAAUACCACACUGACAAUACCAUAUCUGUAAUAAGCAAUCAAUCAACACACAUAUUGGGCCAUCGGCUUGACUGGACUGCCCUAUGGGGCCUACAAUCUAUCUUGAUCUAUCCCGAGCCUUUGGCAUGACUGGUCCGCCAUGUGGGCCUAUAAUCUCCCCGGACGGCUCAUAGGGUGUGUUGGCCUACAUCACAAAGCAGGACCGCCUCAACCCAACCAACAAGCAAUGCAUAACUAUCAUAUACUGGCAUAUAUAAACAUCAAACAUAUCUAUCACUAGUCACCAUUCAUAGAAUUCUAUCGUAACUAGAGUACCGGCCUAGCAUGUCACUAACAUACCAAUCUCUACGGAUCUUAAGAGCAUAGCAUACUGUCUACCCUGAUUCCGAUCUAACAGAUCAUAACCAAAUAUAGCAUACCAUAACAAUAACAACUAAAGGGUCGGCCUUGGUGUUGUAGACCAUACCGAUAUAGUGAGGAUAACUCACCUCGCAGAUGUCGACUCGGAAGGUAAGCUCCAACUCUCGCAUCACUUGACAUAGGCUCCACCACCUAUAGCACAAUAUGCUCGUAAGCCCUUAACCUUAUAAGGUACUCCAUAACCCACUAGUCAACCCCUGAUCAAAGUCAAAGUCCUCAGUCAUGGUCAACAGUCCAUGUUGACCUCGACUCGCUGAGUACCCUCGGCUACUCGUCGAGUUCCUUGAAGCACAUUCCAACUCUCCGAGUCAUUAGGAUGACUUGUCGAGUUCCUUCGAUUCCCAUUCAAACUUUAAGGCCACCCGUUGAGUUCCUUCCUUGCAACUUGAUGAAUGCACACGCAUACAUAUCCAGGAGAAAAAUCAUCUGACUCGCCAAGUUGUUCUUCAACUCGUCGAGUCUAUGGCAAUCAUCAUCGGACCCGCCGAGUUGUUCAUCCAACUCGUCGAGUUCACGGUCAUCUUCAUGUGACUCGCCGAGUCCAUUCAGUCCUUUUUCCAUACAGACCUAUUUUGAGCCAUGCAGCAGCUCCAAAUCACAGAUCCAAGCUUUUAGGGCAUGCUUAUCACGUAAUGCUGCAAACUUUACGUGCAUGCAUGGCUUUAAAUGCUCCAAAUGCCAAAUCUAGGCUCUUAAUGGGGCUUCAUACCCAAGAGGGACCUCAAUCACGGCCAAAACUAUAACUUUAUGCUUCUAGAAUCCGGAGAGAGUCCAGAUCUGAAGUUACAACUCCAGAUCUAGCCCAUAGCUCAUCAUACCAACUUGAUAUUCCAAGAAAACCAUAAAACUCAACCAAUAGAGGAGAUCUAUCAGGAAAAUGACGGUUUAGGUACCUCUGGAAGAUGAUAUCUGAGAUGAAUGUUGAUUUCCACACUCUAAUUGCUCCAAUCUCCUUCUCCUUCCAAAAAUCCUCUUUUCAAGCUUCGACACAUACACAAGGCACACACACACGAAUAAGGGCUCUCAAGGACUCUUUAGAACUGUAAAGAGGUCCAAGCGAGGCUAAAGUCCCUUUAAAUAGGGGCACAAACUCCGGGAUUUAGGGUUUCAUCUGCCAACUCCUACACGCCGAGUCCCAAUAUGGAUUCGUCGUGUAGGUCACUUAACACGCGAUCCCACCCCGCUGCUACUCGACGUGUAUGGCAAUCAACUCGUCGAGUAGAGCUUAACCGAAUACAUCUUAUUUAAACAAUACCCGAGAAUCGGGGAGUUACAACUCUCCCCCACUUGAACUAGACUUCGCCCUCGAAGUCUGCUGGAAUAAACAAGGCCGGGUGAUGCUCGCGCAUCUCCGCCUCCGGCUCUCAUCUCCAAUCGGAUCCCCUCCGAUGUUCCCACCGUACCUUUACCAAAGGUAUUUCCUUGUUCCGCAAAAUCUUCUUCUUCCUUUCUAAAAUAGCCACAGGCCUCUCCAGGCCUCUCCACAUAGUUCAGGCGCUCAUCGACCUGAAUGUCAUCUAACGAAACCACUGCCUCCUAAUCCAUUGUCACACCCCCAAACCAAGGAUGGCAGAAACGUCCAGGGGUGGAGGACUUCAUGUUCAGUAUCACAACAAUAUUUAUAAUAGUGCUCAAAGUAAAUACAACCAUCAUAAAUAUAAUUGAAAAAGUUACACCAAAGUAUUUGUUUACAUGUUUCAAAAUCAAUUACAAUAUGAUGACAAAAAUAAAUUGUUGACGGUUUAACGUCCCAUCCUCAAAGCGCUGAAGUUUUCCUGUUUCACUGAUUCCCUGAGAAUACAAGUAGUUUUGAAAAAUGUCAACAAUUAAGUUGGUGAGUUCAUAAGAGUUUUGUUUGGAGUAGAAACCGUUUUCCUUUUUAAAAGCGAUAGGAUAUGAAUCCAGAAAAUCCAAUAUUUUCUUAGUUAGGUGUAAACAAAAUAUUCCUAUAUGAUGUGUUGAUGAACCCUAGAUUGACCCGUAGAUUUCCUCUAUAAUCGUCCAGCAUAUAUAAGUUAUAGAAGAUUUAAGUUAGAUAAAACGUCGAAUGUAGUGGGUCCGCCCUAGGUCCACAACCCAACGAGGAACAGGAGAUGAGGCGGGCACCACCAAUUCUAAGCCAAUCCAGACUAAAUUCUUGUAUGACUCAAGCAUAUACGCUCAACGAUUAUAGUUGAAGUCUAACCAUGCGAAAAUCUAUUGUGAUUAUAACCUAUACAUAUCAUAGUUCACCGGGGAGUGAUAGGGAUUAGUGAACCUGAACUAUGCAUAUGAAUAGCUUAUCAAAAGUGAUGGUGAAUUCCUUUCUUGUAAUUAAGUUCCUAGGGUAGAUGAAACAUAAACUAUACCUAUUAUAGUUUAUUACUUUGUUUAUAAUAUGUAUUUACCAUAACUAUACCAAUUAUAACUAACGCGUUCGUUUACGGGGGGUAUAAUGGCUUAACUAUACUUAUUACAGUUUAUCUAAAUUGUCCAUAGUGGCAAAAAAUCUUUUGUAUGUGUAAAACCUUAAAUAAUGUGUUUGUUAUAUAAGUAACCCUAAACUAUACCUAUUAUAGUUUCUCAAUUGUUUGUAAGGGUAGUGAGCAUAGGCCCUUCUUGUCAUAAUUUACCAAUGUUUAUAUUUAUAAUGGAUAUAGCCUUGUAAUGUCAGUUAUAUACUUCCCAUGCUUGUGGAGGUGUAAUUCCAUUUGUUUUCUGAUGUACGUCUAUGUAAGGGUAUAAAAUUUGUCAUAUAUUACAACUACACAUAAUUACAUAACGAUGUAUACCUUGCUCAACAUGUUACAAGGUGAAAUGAAAUUUAUUGUGUUUUUCUGUUAAUAACAUUUUCUGUAACUGUUAUUGGAAAAAUUGUAGAAAAAUCAUAAAAUGUCCAAAUCAGGUUCUGUAACUUCUGAGAGUUUGGAAAAUUAGUCUAGUUUGUUCAUAAUUUUUAUUAUAAUUUUUAAUGACCUCUAACUUGGGUGAAAAAGUCCAUAAUCACAGACUGGUCCGGAUUGAUGUUUGAAAGGAUAGGCAGUUUUGUAAAAAUCACCAUAAAUUGUAGAAAAAUCGUAUGGAGAUGUGCAAGUAGUCAUUUUAAAGCUAAGAAGUGGAACUACAUGCACCUAAAACAGUUUUGAAAACAAAAAUAUUUAAGAUGUCCAAAACAGUCCGUGAAUGGAGUGAAACUUUUCUGAUGAAAGCUGUUAGAAAAAUGUAGUUAUGUUCUAAGUAUUUUAACUUGUAUUCCCCCCCUAAAAACUUGAGAAAACAUGAAAAUGUAGGGGUAUGAACUCACCUUAUGUGUUUUCAGUAGGUAAGUGUUGAAGAAGAGAAGUGUUCAACCCAAGAACACUUGAAGAAUCACUUGAAGAUUCGAAGAUCUAACACAAGUAUAAUGGAGUUUGUGUAAGAUACCCAUAAUUUGGGUGGAAAUAAUUGAGAUAAUCAUAAAGGAAAUGGAUUAUGCUUACCAAAUGUGGAGGAAAAACUCAAGAUCAGCCCUUGAAUCUCGAAUUUCUAGAGAGAGAAAGUGAGAGAGAAAAGAGUUUGAUCUUCUUGUGAAAUGAGAGCAAAUGAGAGAAAAUGAGGAGAGAGGAUGAUUAUCCAGCUCUCAAAAACGUGGGGAUGGCUUGUGAGGGAGGUAAAAGGUACAAGGUAUGGUGGAAAGGAGUGUGGGUGGUCAUGGAGUGGGUAUGGGGGUUGCUUGCGUCAUAAAAUAAGGUAAAGUCAACACUCUACCUUUGUACUUUACCUACUCUUAUUUGGAUAAGAUUUUACCCUUAAAAUAUGAUUAAAUUAUUAAUUUAGGGGUCUUAUAUUUUAAAAUAAAGUUUUGGGUGAAAAUCCCAUGUUAAAAUAAUUAAAAAUGGGUUUAAAACGCAAAAAUACGCAAAAACGGGUGAAAAAUGAACUUUCCAGCGAGACCCUUCGGAUCUCGGCCGAGGUUCGGUCAGGGGAGGUGCUGGUCUCGGAAGCGAAGGCGCGAGCCAGAAGAAGGAGCGAAGGCGGGGUUCGUCCGAAGGCUCGGUCCGAUGAGGAGUCAGAAGCGAAAGUCAGGGGUUCGGUCCGAAGUGAUGCUAGAACCGAAGGGACUGUUGUGAACAGUAAUGAACAGUACUUUCGGUUCGGACCUUCCUUCUAUGCGAGGUUCGGUUCGGACCUUCCUUCUAUGCGCGAUUCGGCUCGGAUGAACAGUGACUUCGGUUCGGUUCAUGGGUCAGCAGCUUCGGUUCGGUUCAUGAACAGUACUCUCGGUUCGGACCUUCAUGAAUAGUACUUUCGGUUCGGUUCAUGAAUAGUACUUUCGGUUCGGAGGGUUCGUUUCCUUAAGUCCGUUUUUCGCGUAGACUUCCGUUUUUGGGCUAUUUUCGCCAAAUUCGGGGGUCGGAAUGCCCCGAGUGAUUAUAGAAAGUUGGGGAGAGAUUUCGAGAGAGAUUUGAGAGAGAUUCCACAUACUCAGAGAGAUUUGGGAGAGAUUUGACAUACUUGGAGAGAUUUCUCAUACAAAGAGAUAUGUAGGAGAGAUUUCACAUACUUAGAGAGAUUUGGGGAGAGAUUUGACAUACUUGGAGAGAUUUCUCAUACAAAGAGAUAUGUGGGAGAGAUUUGACAUACUUGGAGAGAUUUCUCAUACAAAGAGAUAUGUAGGAGAGAUUUCACAUACUUAGAGAGAUUUGGGAGAGAUUUGACAUACUUGGAGAGAUUUCUCAUACAAAGAGAUAUGUAGGAGAGAUUUCACAUACUUAGAGAGAUUUGGGGAGAGAUUUGACAUACUUNUUUGAGUGUUCGGCUUUGCAAUGCAGGGUCCGUAAGUCCCGUUACGCCUUGUUUAAGGAUCUUGCAUACUCCCGAUGAGUAUGCAACAUUGUUUUAUCGGUUUGGCUCACCACGUACCACAGUUUUAGGUUAAGGAGAUCUAGAUGUACGCACUUUUUGAUUUAGGAUCUCUCGUUAGAAUAGAGAGUUGUUUAGGAGUUACUUAACAUAAGCUCUAGUACUCACGGCAAAAUGAGUGGACCGGUUUGUCUUGUUGACUUUCGUUGACUUUGACUCGACUGAAAAUUGACGGUUGUCACAUCCAUAAUGCGUUUUCGCAAUUGCGAAACAUGAAACGUGUUAUGGAUCCGGCUGGGCUCCUUCGGAAGCUCUAGACUAUAAGCCACCUUGCCGACCCUGGCAACAAUCCUGAACGACCCAAUGUAAUGGGGACCCAAUUUUACCCUAUUCCUGAAGUGGAUCACACCCUUCUAGGGUGAGACUUUCAGGAAGACCAUGUCACCCACCUGGAAUUCCAACUCAGAUCGGCGUCGGUCGGUAUAAGUUUUAUGCCGGCUCUGAGCGGUCUGCAGUCACUGUCUAGUCUGAGGUAUCAUCUCGUUAGUUUGCAGAACUACCUCUGUCCGACGCAUUACCAUGUGCCCAACCUCGCCCCAACAGACUGGGGUCCUACACUUCCGCCCAUACAACAGCUCGAAAGGCGGGGCGCCAAUACUGGAAUGGUAUCUAUUGUUGAAGGCAAACUCUGAAAGCGGUAGGUGGGAAUCCUAACUCCCACCGAAAUCAAUGGCGCACGCCCUCAACAUAUCCUCGAGGGUCAGAAUGGUCCGCUCACUCUGCCCAUCAGUCUGCAGAUGGAACACCAUGCUAAAAUGUUGUCUCGUACCUAGUUCCUCGUGGAACAUCUACCAAAUAUGGGAAGCAAAUCUGACAUCCCGAUCGGACACAAUGGAAACUGGGGCCGCAUAGCGAGAGACAAUCUUGCGGGCGUACAGGUCAGCCAACUUCUCUACCGAAGAUCUCUCCUGUAUGGCUAGGAAAUGGGCAAUCUUGGUCAAUCGAUCCACAAUGACCCAUAUAGCAUCGAACCCCUUUGCCGUCUUCGGCAACUUCAUGAUGAAAUCCAUCGGGAUCCAUUCCCAUUUCCACAUGGGAAUCUCCAGAGGCUGCAGCUUACCGUGUGGCCUCUGAUGUUCGCCCUUGACCAUCCUACAGGUCAAGCGCCUCUUAACAAACUAAGCGAUCUUCAUACCAGGCCACCAAUAACUCGAAAUCAAAUCACGGUACAUCUUGGUGGCUCCCGGGUGAAUAGAAAACUGAGACUUAUGAGCCUCCUCCAUCACUGUUUGCUGGACCCCUCCGGUCAUCAGAACCCAAACCCGACCGUAACGGGUCAAAAAUCUGUGGCUAUCCUGAAAAAACCGAGCGCUUUCGCCCUUAAUCCUUUCCAACUUCUAGUUCUCCGGACUCAUACCCUCAAUCUGAGCAUCCUUGACCAAAACCACUAGUGGAGAAUCCACCGCUAUCCUCACACACUUGUUUGGGGUAGAGGACCCAGCUGACUUGCGGCUCAGAGCAUCCGCAACCACAUUCGCUUUAGCAGGAUGGUAAGGAUCUCACAAUCAUAGUCCUUGACCACAUCCAUCCACAUGCACUGCCUCAUGUGCAGGUUUGGCUGAUCCAUGAUAUGUCUCAAACUCUUGUGAUCCCUGUAUAUAGUACAACAGACUCCGUACAGAUAGUACCUCCAAAUAUUGAGAGCGAAGACCAUCACUCCCAACUCAAGAUCGUGUGUAGGGUAUUUCGUCUCGUGCGGCUUCAGUUGCCUCGAUGCAUAAGCUAUCACUCGUCUCCUCUGCAUGAGGACCGCCCCCAAACCUAUGAUGGAUGCAUCACAAAACACCACAAAAUCCUCAACUCCCUCGGGGAGUGUCAACACCGGCGCCUCGUAUAAACAUCGCCGCAGGGUCUCAAAUGCCCUCUGCUGCUUAGGGCCCCACCAGAAAUCUACCCCCUUCCUUGUUAGACGAGUGAGGGGUACGACAAUCUUGGAGAAAUCACGAAUGAAUCUCCGAUAAUACCUUGCUAAACCCAAUAAACUCCUGAUGUCUGACGGAGACUUCGGAGUCUCCCACUGCAUAACUGCCUCCAACUUAGCUGGAUCAACCAAAAUCCCCUCCUGGUUAACGAGAUGUCCGAGGAACUGGACCUCUCGCAACCAAAACUCACACUUCGAGAACUUGGCAUACAGCCGUUCUCGUCAUAGAACGUCCAACAGCUCCCUAAGAUGCUCCUCAUGCUGCUCUCGGGUCUUAGAAUACACCAAGAUAUCAUCUAUUAACACAAUGACCGAGCGAAAGAGCAUCGGUCUGCAGACUCAGUUCAUCAGAUCCAUGAACACUGCUGGUGCGUUGGUGAGCCCAAACGGCAUUACCAUGAACUCGUAGUGACUAUAACGAGUCUGAAACACGGUCUUCUCCACGUCUUCCUCCCUCACCCUUACCUGGUGAUAUCCUGAUCUCAAGUCAAUCUUGGAAAACCAAGAUGCACCCUGCAGCCGAUCAAAAAGAUCGUCUAUGCUUGGGAGCGGAUAACGGUUCUUCACCGUUAAUUUGUUCAGCUCCCUAUAGUUAAUGGACAUCCUGUGCGAACCGUCUUUCUUCCUGAUGAAAACGAUCGGUGCUCCCUAGGGUGAACUAUUCGUACAAAUAAACUUCUUACCCAACAGCUCCUGCAACUAAGAUGAUAGCUUUUGUAUCUCAGGCAGUGCCAACAGGUACGGCGCCUUGGCGAUAGGGGCGACACCUAGCACUAGGUCAAUCAUGAACUGAACCCGGCUCUCCGGAGGCACACCGAGUAACUCCUCUGGAAACACAUCAGCAAACUCCCUCACCACCGGGACCUCAGAAACUGAGAGCUGAUCUCUAACCUGUGUAUCUACCACAUACGCCAAAUAACCGACACACUCAUGCUGAAUAUACUGUCGAGCCCUGGCUGUCGAACAAAACCCUGAUCCCAAGCUGGUGACCUCACCAUAAACUACAAGUUCUCGCCUACUUGGGGUUUGAACCACCACCCGCUGUCCCUCACAGUCGAUCAUGGCGCCAAAACGGCUAAGCCAAUCCAUCCCUACAAUCUUGCAUACAUCCCCCAUGGGGAUAGGAAUCAAAUCUAUUAGGAAAGACACCCCGAAAAUCUCCAACUCGCAACCUCGGUAGACCGAGGAAGCAGAAACCCCGUGCUCGUUGGUGAUCGAGACUCGCAACGGGCACUCAAGAUCAUCCAUCGGCACACUGAACCCUCUAGAGAAGGUCUGAGAUACAAAUGAUAGACUCACCCCCGAGUCAAAUAAUACCAAAGCAGGCAAAGAAUUCACUAAAAACGUACCUAAUCACAGGUAAAAUCAAUAAGCAUAACACAAAUACAGUAACUGAGACAGAGAAUAGAAACGUACUAGUAACCACAUCCGGUGCUGACUUGGCCUCAUCGGCCGUGAGCUGGAAGAUGCGACCCUGAGCCUUCGGAAGCUCCACCUUGACUGGCCUCCCAUCUCCAAUCCUCACAAAAGCUAGCACGGAACCCUGCGUCGGCUUGGCGGCGAGCUGCAGACAGUUGGUCUUCACAUGACCAACCUGAUGACACUAGCAACAAAUCCUCAUAUUUGUUGGACGGGUGGACUGACGACAAUCCCUGGCAUAAUGCCCCUCCUUUCCAUAUUUGUGGCAUCCACCUCCUGCUCUACAAACCCCUAAAUAAACCUUGCCACACUUCCCACAAGUGCGGCUCUGAAGGGCCCAAGACCAUGUAUCAGUGGUCUUAAACCGCUUAGGCGCCGGCUGAGACUGUGCCGAUGCCUGACGCUGCUCCUUCAGCUACUGCUCUAUCUCCAACUCAUGCCGCCUCACGGGCUUCCUGAAGGUCCAGGAGGGUAUCACAACCCUGUGUAGCCACAAACUGUUAUAUAUCUGUCUUGAGCAUACUCAGAUAACGAGUCAUCUGAAACUGCUCUGACGCAAACUCCGGGCAAAACAUGGCCCUCUUAGUGAACAUCCGGGUGAUCUCCAUCACAGACUCCUGACCAAGCCGCUCCCAUUCCACGUGCGGAAUGUAGCGGGUGCGAAACAUAUCCCAAAACUGCUACCGACACCUCUAACCCUCCGUCUCCCGAUCCCGAUCCUGAUCCUGAUCCUGACCCGAAUCCCGAAGCAACAUGUCUCAUCACCACCAUACUGAAAUAUAUAUAAGUCAUCAGAUAAAUAACAUAAUGUCGAGAGACCAAAACCCAUAAACCCUAGGGGUUGUGAUUUCCUUGCUACGCGUAUGGGUCCUGUGCUUUCAGUAGUACGGGCCCAUACUACCUUCCACACCUACCCAUAUUUGUCUCAAGUAUCACCACAAUGCCCUAACACUAUCAUCAACAUAGGAAAUGCGCUCAACCUUCACUUCUAGGGGAAUACUAAAUAUCUCGCCUCUAGCCUCACAACUUAUCACAACCCACAAGUAACACCCAAAGUCAGGAAGGCCAAGAAAGGAAAGGAAACCCUAUGCUUAAGGGACGACUCGGCGAGUUCAAGGAGGAACUCGGCAAGUCCGAGCGGGAUCCGGGUCGAGGAGUAAGUGACCGACUCGGCGAGUCAGCCAAGGAGACUCGACAAGUCAGGUUUGUACGAGGAAAACCCUAAAUCCGAGACUUUGGGCACUAUUUAAACUCCAUAUUCUCUCCAUUAGGGUUCCUUAGAGCCUCCCUUAUACAGAAUACGAACCCUAAGUCUCCAUUGUUGUGCAUUCAAGCUUCCAAGCCAUUUUUGGGUGAUUUGAAGGACAAAGAAAGAGGGGAAUCAUUGAAGCUUCAAGGAUUGACCUUAGAUAUGAAGUUUUGGGAACCUUUAUGAGGUAUUGAAGGUAUUAUGUCGUUUCCCUUCUUUAGAUCUACUAUAGUUGUGAGUUUUGGGGCUUUUUGGCCAUGAUUAGUUAUCCAUUUGAGUUAGAAGCCGGAUCUGAAGUUGCUACUUCGGAUUUAAGCAUAUUGUGGCCUUGUGAAGCAUAAAGUAUCUGCCCUUGAGUGGAUGAUGGAGCCUCUUUGCCUUAAACCCUAGUUUAUGGUAUAUUUAGACUAGAUCUCCUUCUCUACACGNUGGUGUAUUUAGCCUAGAUCUCCUUCUCUACAUGUAAAGUUUGCAAAUUUACGUGAGGAAUAGGCUUGGGAAGGGCAGAUCUACAGUUUGGAGUCCAUGCAUGACUCAAAAGUCCUCUGCAUGUAUGUAGAUCUGAAUGGAGUCGGCGAGUAACAUGAAGAUGAGGAGGAAAUCAACGAGUGGGAUGAACAAGAACAACUCGUCGAGUCUGAUGAAUUUGGGCAAGAACUCGGCGAGUUUGAAGAACAACUCGGCGAGUCUGUCGAAGGUUGUCUAGGACUCGACGAGUCUUUUCUUAGACUCGGCGAGUCAGGUCGCGAAACCCCAAACCCUUCGAGUUGAGACUCGAAUCAGUGAGUCGAGUGGAGACUCGGUGAGUUGGACAGGUUAGGACUCAAAAAUCGGUAGACUCAGUGAGUCAUGGACUGGCUCGGUGAGUCGAGUCGUGAAUGGAAGGACUUUGAGCUUAUGAACUCGGCGAGUCGGUAGGCAGACUCGGCGAGUAGGGUUGACCUGGGACGUUGAAUUUUACCAGGACUUUGACUUUGACCAGAGUUGACUUGGUUGUCUUUCGGGGGUCAGUUAGACUAAGUGUUCCAUUGAUAUUGGUAGCUCGAGGACCUAGUGGAGCAGGAGUUCAGAGAGUUGCCAGGCAGCAGCUGGUGGGAUCAUCAGUUUGUUCAACCAGUGCAGGUGAGUUUCCCUUUUGUGUGAAUGGGUCUACGGCCACAAUGUCGGCCCAUGUAGUUAUGAGUAGAAGACCCGGGGGUUAUCCCUAGGCACAGUAUGUGUUGGGUUUUGAGCAAUCUAACACUUCCUAAGUGUGCAUGCAACCCUAAUAAAACUUGGAUCUAUGUUUGUCUAAAUACAUGCAAAAUAAUUAUUUUCCAAGGUUUAUAACCUAUCUAACAUGGCAUGGGGAACAUUUCAACAUAAAAGAGUUAGAAGAGAUUACAUACCAUUUAGAUGAGUUUGGUUCUUGAGGAGUUUGAGGGCCAAGCACCAAUAGUGUGAAUGCCUCAAAUGGAAUCACAAAACACCACAAACUCUUGGAAAACUUUGAGAGAGAAUACACACUUGUAUUUUCGGCCACACACAAGCACACACACACUAGUUCACUAGUUACCCUUUCGGGGCCAUUUCAUGCAACAUAAGCAUGCUUAUAUAGUGUACAUGAUUAGGGUGAAACCCUAAUAACCCAUGUCUUUUCCUUUCCAAGGAUCCAUGGGUUAAAAGCUCCAUGGAUCAUCCAUGGACUUCCAUAUAAGCUUAACCCAUUAACAAAUGAGUGUUAGCCCACACCAUAUAAACCAAGAGCCCACAAUCUAAUUAGCCUUCCUUUUAAUCUCUAAAUUAUUUCAUAUUUAAUUUAAGACUAAGACUAAUUAAAUAACAUAAUUUCAUAUUAAUAUAUUAUAAUAUAUUAAUAAACAUGUGUAUAACUCUCAUAAAAUUAUCCAUAAAUAGUUUGGAUGAAAUGCAACCCAAAUGGACCAUGCCGGGUCGGGUCAAGUAUAUACCAAAUAAGUUAUGGACUUAGACACCUUAUCCAACAGACUCCCACUUGGAUAAGUCUAAUAACUAUAUUUGCGUAUGUUACUUCAGGAACCAACCAGCAAUCGUAGCUCUCGAAAACUCUGUUGAACUAUGAAGCACCAUUUUAGAUAAGUGAUCAUAUAAUCCUCUGUUCUCAUGAUAUCAUCCGGACAAAUACAUGGAACAACGUCGUACUUAUUGUCCAGCAGUUUGUUUCCCGAUUUUCGAUUUGUUUGACAAAGAACUUAAUCGAACACAUCAAUUUAGUUCUGACCGGCCGGUACAUAGGUCACAACAAAAUCAUCGAGGGGCCCAGAUAUCGCUUCUAUUUCUAGAAGGAACAGAUAAACUUCGACUCAUAUGCUUGUUCUACUACUUGUUGAAUUGUACACAAAGGCACGUUUUAUAACAUCAAGUUACUGAUGCGUUUACGUGCAAUCAAUGCACAACCAACUCAUAGGUAACAACUCAUAUCUCUAGGUUUGAAGAUUUAUAUGAUAUUACCGUCUCACGAUCACUCGAGAUAAAUUCCAUGAAGUGAUACAAGUGAGCGUGGGUUUAUUCCAAUACUCAUAACUUAUGAGCACUCAUGAAUGUUGUAGCAACCAUUGCUAUGACUAAACCCAUUUAGCCAUCUACAAACUCGAUUCAUGACAGUCUUGAUUCAUACCUACUUCCAACAUAUGAACGACUGUGGAGUGUUUAAAUAACUUAGUCAUUCGGAAAGAAUAACCUAGCUAUUUUGGAAGUCAAAACAUGCAAAGUGAAACACAAUAAUAAUCGAAUCCAAUAUGGUCUCAGAACCCUUUUGAAUAUAAAUAGAACCACCUUUUAUUUAUCACCAUAUUGAUUACACAUUAUUCAUUGUAUAAUGUUUCAAACAAUCAACUUAAGACUUGAAUAAAAACAACAGUCGUCCCAUGCUCCUAGCAUGUACACUUUGUUUUUCUAAACAAUAGUUAUGCCAUACUCCAAGUAUGCACACUAUGUUUGUCUAUGAUCCUUACAUUGUGAUGUAGAUCAAUUGAACAUGAUUCCAAUGAUACUCAUUUCACAAUCCCAAAUCCUUAUUGUAAAUGUGAGAAUCCCCGAUUCCUAUCAUUUACCAAAAAAUCUGUUAGAUUUUAAACUUUUAUGCAAUGUUCCUCUUGUAAUGAUUAUGCACAAAGUCACCAAAACCUUGUCACCAGUCAUUACAGAGUAUUCCAAAGAAGGUCAACUUCUAUGGAACGGAAGUCUCAUAUUCAAAGUACAUUGCUUUGAACAUCCUUCUUGCAUUAAGGUUUUCUAAUCUUACAUAGAUUGAAUAACUUCCACCUAUGGAGACAUUUCCAUAGUCCCAUUUUGACUAUCACUUCCGAACAAGAGUUACUUCUUUUCAGAAUAUGUCAAUAUGGUCCUUUCCGACAACUUACAUCAUACUUCCAACUUUCCCUGAGCAACCAAUCUUUGGCGAACCUCAGAUUGUCCUCGACAAUUGCUUAAUCACUUUAGUCAUAUCCAGUUCUAGACUUUUCCCUUCUCAAUGCCUUAAGCAUUUGGAAAAUUUAGAAAAGAUGAAUAUUAUAGCACAUGCAAUCGAUCCUAUAUCCGAAGCAUAUGGGACACGAUUCAUGAUGUUUGACAUAAAGACAUGAUACUAGACCAGUCUUUUGCUACAAUAUUUUUUAUUUGCCAUGUUUUCAAAAUUUAACUAUGAAGAGGGAUGCCGUAAUCAUAAUCGAAUUUUGAAAACGCAAUAUAUAUAGAAUUUCUUCAAGUUGAACCAUUCCAACAUAAAAUUCAUAUAUAUAUUCUUGACUAAAGAUGAUUAAAAUCUCAAUCUAAGCUUUAGAAUUGAAAUGAAGUAUAAUUUCCUCUCCCUUAAUUAUAGCAAAACAACUUUUCAACCCCUGCAACUUCACGAAUUGAAACUUUGUUUUCUAUAAUUAACAUUGCUAACUUGCAACACUAAACGUAAUAAUCAUGCUCCCACUAACAUGAUGAUUAUCAGCAUAACACUUAUGCUCCCACUAGCUCUGACAUAUUUCCAGAAAUCUGCUGGACUUCUGAAAUUUAGAUUCAUACACCCUUUCUUAGAUAGCUCACAUGUGUGUCUAAACAAUUUUCAGAACUAUGAAAAGGGAUGCCGUAAUCAUAGUCUCAAUUGCUUAGGCAUUUGCCAUUUCUCACAAGUCCAUGUUAGUGUGCCGGUUAACCACACGCGCUCCACUAAUGACUUUUGAAAAUGCAAAUAACACAAUUGAUAUCUACGUAAAAUCUACUUAGUGAAAGCGUUUCCUCACCAUCAUUUUCAUGAAUCGGAGAGAAACCUUAUGACACUUAGAUUUUAUAGUGUAUGAGUUCCUAUCCAUGUGAAUUUGUCAAAACCAUAAUCACAAGAUAAGGUUAGUGACAAAUUCAGCCUUACAUGGAUUAAACUUGUUCAAUCUUAGUUUCUUGUCACCUUGGUAGCACAAGGCCCACCAAUGCUUCCAAGUUGAACUCUGAUAACUCACAUGCAAAUUCAACUUAUUUGAAGUAGGUACAGAAAUAAGAAUUAUGUCAACACGAUAGGUUGCAAACCUUAAGUCGUGUGCUAGUGAUAAAUUACAGGUUUUACUCUUGAUUAAAUCUUGAAACUCUUUCAGGAUCUUUAAGGCUCCCACUGUCCCCUUGACAUAUAAGUUUCCCCAGUCAAGAACCAUUCCUUAACAAAACAAAUACUCAAGGGACAGUUCGGAUUCUUAUCAAGACUAACACUUCACACAAUUGGUCUUAGUUGGUCUUUGUCUCAUCCAAGACAUCACAACUUACCAAUCUGAAAUGUACAAGAGUAGAAAACAUUCUUCACUACAUUUGAUAAGUGUUUUAAACCUUACUUUAUGUCAUUCAAAGUUACAAUCUUGGAGUAUGACUCUAAGAAUUGUUUUGGAACGAAGUAUGACUCAUCUUCUUGAUUUUAACCAAUCCAACAAUUCAUGACCUCUCUUCUUAGCCAUAACAAUGCACUAAGACGUCCUUAGAGUAUGAAUUUGUGAUAUGGUUUCAUAAUCAUUAAGAUGAUCAUGAAAUACGAUACUAAAGUACUCUCCCAUCCUUUCAGAUUUGAGAAACUUUUAUCUUUCUGCCUAAUUUGAUUCUUCUCAUUUGUUUUGUCAUACAUUGUAACCUUUCCAAUGUUACAGAAUUAUACUUAACCUCAUAAGUAUAAUCAUAUUUACUAAUCUUUAGUAAAUCAUGACAAAUCAAUCUUUGUGGUGGACCUUGACCAGCGCACACCCAGUGUACCUAAUUCCUUAGUCCUUCAAUUGACUCACAUAUACAUGUGAUCAAAGAAUUAGUCUUAAUUUUCAAAGAUGAAAAUUCUCAUUCAUCAUACAAUACAACUUGUAUGAUUCCAAGUUUCUGUCCAAUUGAAACUUGGGUGAUGAAAAACUUUCUUCAUUUGGUAAAUUCAGACACUACCACAAAUGAAAGAAUCAAAUCCACUUUCCAAUAUUGCUAUUACUGGAAACAUAUAAGCAACAAUUUUCCACAGAUGCCAUUGUAAGGAUAUUUUUAAAAUAAAUAAAAUUAAAACCCUUUUUUUUUUUUUUUUUAAAACUUUGCGGAAAAACUUAUCCUUACAAUCCACAUGAAAACCUUGUUGUUAUCUAUUCAUAAGCAAUAUAUUAUAACUCUUAAGCAACAGCUCAAAAUUCUGAUUACCGAACCAUGCGAUCGAAACCCACCUUCGCAAUCAGAAUCAACAUAUACUUACUUUAAGCUUCCUAUCUUUUCUUUGAUUCUUAAAAACAUCAGCAUGUGACCCAUUCACAUUAUGUAAUAAGAAUCUCCAAAUAGGAACUUAAUAGAGUUAGACAGUGGACUUUACCCGAAGUAGAGUCAAACCUCUUGACUUGAUCAACCUUAUGACCUUUCAGGUGAAUAGGGCAGCUUCGCAACCAAUGCCCCUUCCUUUGGCAACAAAACACAUGGACCCUUUGGUAAUGGCACAUGAGACUAUCUCAGACUUAGCCUUUCUCUUUACCAUUUGGUCAACCGAGUUGACUAUGGCCGAUCCCUUUCCAUUGGGAAGAGAAAUCCUUUUCUAGAUAUCCAAUGCUACCAUUGUCAAUGUCCAUUUAAGACUUGGGAAGUUGUUCUUUUAAUCAAAUUUGCUUUACUGGUGUUCCAAAUCAUUGCUGAUUCCACAACACCAAGCAAAUAGAUAACAUCAUUAAGGGUCAUGUCAUAGUCUGUCUCAUAGUAGUCCCAAAGAGACUCACUAUGUUACUAAGAAAGUGAUUGAACAUCCAACUUUCACGAGACUUUGACACCCAACUCUCCCGGCUUGUCAAUAUGUGACUUUAUCUCCAAGAUGUGAGCACACAUAGACUAUGCUUGCCAAUAGGGAUUGAGUGACUUUAAACUUUUCAAGAACUUGUGGGUGAGGGAGAAUAAUUGGAGGAGGUGGAGGAAGUGAAGCAUGAUGUUGAGGGACACCAUCUUCAAGAGAUUUGGGAAGAUCAUAGUUGUCUGAACCAGACAUCUAUAAUGGGAGAAAAUCAAGUUAGUUGAUUCAAAGUCCUUAAUAUAACACCCAAUAUGAAAUAUUAAGGCUAGGACCCAACACAAUAUUUUAUAAUUUGGAAGAGGGAUGCCGUAAUCCAAGCUAUAAAAUAUUUGAAGGUAGGCGAAUGACGAUUCACCAAUUUCCACCAUGAAAAACGAAAUAAUUUAUUAGGUUUUAAUUGGAUUUGAAAUUCCUAGAUCUUUUGAGAUUCAUUGAACUUUUCAAUGGCAUGUUUCAAUCUCGAGUGUGCCCUCUCAAAUUUUGUGACUGGGAUGCCGAGGAUCACAAAACAAGGUGUGAAUAACCAUACCAAUUCACUUGGUACCCUUAAUAUUAUCACCUAAUCAAUGUGCCGGUUAACCACACACGCUCCAUUGAUCUAUGACAAACAUUAAGUCACCCUUCGUGAUCCUUACUAGUCCAAGUUAGUGUGCCGGUUAACCACACACGCUCCACCAACGACUUGGUAAGGUACAAAGUGUGAAUUCCAUGGGCUAGCACCAAAUUCACAUUUUUCCUAAAGUAACUAAGAUUGGGAAUUAAAUAAAAAAUUUUUAGUUACUUUAUAAUAAUCAUUAUACUUUUAAUGAGAAUUUAAAGUCAUUGUCCUACCCGUUCGGCUAACGACCCUCCACCGAUCAAGCAAGCGGUGGGUGAGAGUGGACACCCAUUAAGUCGCCAUUUUAUAGGCAACAACCUUAUACCCACCUUAUAGACCGGCUU